AGAGUUCGAUCCGGGCUUAGGAUGAACACUGGCAGCAUGCUUAAUUCAUGCAAGUCAGACGGAAAACACGGGAAUGAUGUUUCUAGUGGAGGAUGGGUAAGUAACGCGUAAGAACCUUCCCUUGGGAUGGGAACAACAGUUGGAAACGACCGCUAAUACCCCGUAGGCUGAGGAGCAAAAAGAGGAAUCUGCCCGAGGAGGGGCUCGCGUCUGAUUAGCUAGUUGGUGAGGCAAUAGCUUACAAAGGCGAUGAUCAGUAGCUGGUCUGAGAGGAUGAUCAACCACACUGGGAUUGAGACACGGCCCAAACUCCUAUAGGAGGCAGUAGUGAGGAAUUCUCCGCAAUGGGAGAAAUCCUGAUGGAGCAAUACCACGGGAGGUAGAAGGCCCACGGCUCGUGAACUUCUUUUCUCAAAGAAGAAGCAAUGCCUGUAUUUGGGGAAUAAACAUCAGCUAACUCUGUGCCAGUAACCACAAUAAUACAAAAGAUGAAAGCAUUAUCAAGAAUGAUUGGGUGUAAAACGUCUGUAGGUGGAUUUUUAAGUCCGUCGUCAAAUCCCAGGGCUCAAUCCUUGACAGGAGGUGGAAACUACCAAGAUGGAGUAUGGUAGGGGCAUAGGGAAUUUCUGGUGGAGCGGUGAAAUGCAUAGAAAUUGAAAAGAACCCCAACAGUGAAAGCACUUUGUUGGGCCGACACCGACAAUAAGAGAUGAAAGCUAGGGGAGUGAAUGGGAUUAGAUACCCAGUAGUCCUAUCCAUAAACGAUGGAUACUAAGUGUUCUGCAUAUCGGCAGUACUGUAGCUAACGCGUUAAGUAUCCCGCUUGGGGAGUAAGUUCGCAAGAAUGAAACUUAAAGAAAUUGAUGAGGACCCGCACAAGCAUUGGAGCAUGUGGUUUAAUUCAAUGCAAAGUGAAGAACCUUACCAGGGCUUGACAUGCCGUGAAUCUAUUUAUAGAGAGGGGUGCCUUCGAGAAUCCAGACAUAGAUGGUGCAUGGCUGCCGUCAGCUCAUAUCGUAAGGUGUUGGGUUAAGUCCCGCAACAAAGUAUAACCCUCUUGUUUAGUUUCCAUCGUUGAGUUUGGAACCCUGAACAAACUGCCUGUGAUAAGCCAGAGGAAUGUGACUCGGGAAUUAAUGAAGUCGCUUCACUUCAAUGAAAGGGAGUAUGUUUUUUCUUGUCAGCGGGAUCCUCUCUUCUAUCUAUCAACCAUUUCAUUAUAGAACUUUCUGUUUGAGCUGUGGAGCUAACAAAAAACACUCAUCUGCAUUCUUAAAGGCUUGAUCAUGUUCCGGUUCCCAAAACUUAUACCUUUCUUCUGCAAUGAUUCAAUUAUGGGGUUUUGCGCUUCGAAAAGUCUUUUUUGAUGCAUUUGUAAUAGCCUAUGUGUUCCGAAAAAGAACGUUCUACGCCCAGGCCUCUUUUCAGUAGAUGCGAUUAGGAUGAAAGAGCUU
rnacentral:rRNA from 1 species